rnacentral:rRNA from 1 species
UACGGAGAGGGCUAGCGUUAUUCGGAAUUAUUGGGCGUAAAGGGCGCGUAGGCGGGUUAGUAAGUUAAAAGUGAAAUUCCAAGGCUCAACCUUGGAAUUGCUUUUAAAACUGCUAACCUAGAGAUUGAAAGAGGAUAGAGGAAUUCCUAGUGUAGAGGUGAAAUUCGUAAAUAUUAGGAGGAACACCAGUGGCGAAGGCGUCUAUCUGGUUCAAAUCUGACGCUGAGGCGCGAAGGCGUGGGGAGCAAACA